rnacentral:rRNA from 1 species
CUUUACGGGGGGGCACAGUAGGGAAUCUUCCACAAUGGACGCAAGUCUGAUGGAGCAACGCCGCGUGAGUGAAGAAGGCUUUCGGGUCGUAAAACUCUGUUGUUGGAGAAGAAUGGUCGGCAGAGUAACUGUUGUCGGCGUGACGGUAUCCAACCAGAAAGCCACGGCUAACUACGUGCCAGCAGCCGCGGUAAUACGUAGGUGGCAAGCGUUAUCCGGAUUUAUUGGGCGUAAAGCGAGCGCAGGCGGUUUUUUAAGUCUGAUGUGAAAGCCCUCGGCUUAACCGAGGAAGCGCAUCGGAAACUGGGAAACUUGAGUGCAGAAGAGGACAGUGGAACUCCAUGUGUAGCGGUGAAAUGCGUAGAUAUAUGGAAGAACACCAGUGGCGAAGGCGGCUGUCUGGUCUGUAACUGACGCUGAGGCUCGAAAGCAUGGGUAGCGAACAGGAUUAGAUACCCUGGUAGUCCAUGCCGUAAACGAUGAAUGCUAGGUGUUGGAGGGUUUCCGCCCUUCAGUGCCG